UACGGAGGGAGCUAGCGUUGUUCGGAAUUACUGGGCGUAAAGCGCACGUAGGCGGGUCUUUAAGUCUGGGGUGAAAUCCUGGAGCUCAACUCCAGAACUGCCUUUGAUACUGAGGAUCUUGAGUUCGGGAGAGGUGAGUGGAACUGCGAGUGUAGAGGUGAAAUUCGUAGAUAUUCGCAAGAACACCAGUGGCGAAGGCGGCUCACUGGCCCGAUACUGACGCUGAGGCACGAAAGCGUGGGGAGCAAACAGG
rnacentral:rRNA from 1 species